UACGGAGGGGGGCUAGCGUUGUUCGGAAUUACUGGGCGUAAAGCGCACGUAGGCGGAUCAGUCAGUUAGGGGUGAAAGCCCAGGGCUCAACCCUGGAACUGCCUUUAAUACUGCUGGUCUGGAGGUCGAGAGAGGUGAGUGGAAUUCCGAGUGUAGAGGUGAAAUUCGUAGAUAUUCGGAGGAACACCAGUGGCGAAGGCGAGUCCCUGGACACUUCCUGACACUGAGGCACGAAAGCUAGGGGAGCAAACAGG
rnacentral:rRNA from 1 species